AGACGAAAUGUUUCCCGAAGGUGCAGGCCCAUUUAUGGAUUUGGAGGAGGGUUCCUCUGGCCUCUUAAUGGACCUAGCAGCAAAUGAAAAGGAUGUUCAUGGUGAUUUCUACAAUGUGAGGUUAUAUUUAUUUACAGCCUUUGAAGAUCUCUUUGAUGAAAGCGAUAUGCAAAUCUAACUAAAUGAUGCUCGUACGAUUCAUUUAUUUAAAGGCUAUUACCAGAAUGUAUGGAGAAUGAAAAAAACUUUUGAUUCACAUUAAAUUUUUUUUCUCAAUAUUUUAAGAAGUAUAAAAUAAAAUUAUUUUGACUCAUUA